GGGAUGACACAGUAGGAUAAGCUAAGCACACUGUUGGUUAUGUGUGCCCAAGCAUUGAGGCAGUCAAAGUAGGCAAAUCCGCUUUGAUAAUGCUGGGAUGUGAUGGGGAGCGAAAUUUAGUAGCGAAGUAGCUGAUUUCACACUGUCAAGAAAAGUCUCUAUCGAGGGUAAAGGUACCCGUACCGCAAACCGACACAGGGGGGUGAGGAGAGUAUCCUAAGGCCAGCGAGAGAACUGUUGUUAAGGAACUCGGCAAAAUGACCCCGUAACGUAGGGAUAAGGGGGGCAACAACCGGGUGGCCGCAGAGAGGAGGCGCA
rnacentral:rRNA from 1 species